rnacentral:rRNA from 1 species
AGCAGUCGCCGCGGGAAUACGUAGGUCCCGAGCGUUGUCCGGAUUUAUUGGGCGUAGAGCGAGCGCAGGCGGUUAGAUAAGUCUGAAGUUAAAGGCUGUGGCUUAACCAUAGUACGCUUUGGAAACUGUUUAACUUGAGUGCAAGAGGGGAGAGUGGAAUUCCAUGUGUAGCGGUGAAAUGCGUAGAUAUAUGGAGGAACACCGGUGGCGAAAGCGGCUCUCUGGCUUGUAACUGACGCUGAGGCUCGAAAGCGUGGGGAGCAAACAGGAUUAGAUACCCCGGUAGUCCCUGUCUCUUAUACA